UAUGUGACAUUCGUUAAAGUAUUCAACUGGCCGAAUAUAUUUUGUUUAUUUUAGCGGAGUUUAACACAAAUCAAGAUAUUGUUUGUUAUACAUGGUUCAUAAAACAAUGAAGAUGCAAAUAUGUAUAUUUGGCAUUGUCCUUUUGUGGUUGCACAGAUUGUCUGAGGUUGAACUCAGCCCGGCAAGCCGUAAGACAUCAACCAUUCUUCAACAAAAAC